GGUGAACGCUGGCGGUAGGCCUAACACAUGCAAGUCGAACGGCAGCACAGUAAGAGCUUGCUCUUACGGGUGGCGAGUGGCGGACGGGUGAGGAAUACAUCGGAAUCUACUUUUUCGGGGGGGAUAACGUAGGGAAACUUACGCUAAUACCGCAUACGACCUACGGGUGAAAGCAGGGGAUCUUCGGACCUUGCGCGAUUGAAUGAGCCGAUGUCGGAUUAGCUAGUUGGCGGGGUAAAGGCCCACCAAGGCGACGAUCCGUAGCUGGUCUGAGAGGAUGAUCAGCCACACUGGAACUGAGACACGGUCCAGACUCCUACGGGAGGCAGCAGUGGGGAAUAUUGGACAAUGGGCGCAAGCCUGAUCCAGCCAUACCGCGUGGGUGAAGAAGGCCUUCGGGUUGUAAAGCCCUUUUGUUGGGAAAGAAAAGCAGCAGGUUAAUACCCCGCUGUUCUGACGGUACCCAAAGAAUAAGCACCGGCUAACUUCGUG
rnacentral:rRNA from 1 species